rnacentral:lncRNA from 1 species
CUAUAUAUAUAUAUUUUUUUUUCGUUAUAGAUAUUUAAUGAUUAAUGAUUGAACAUUUCAGGAAUCCAGUGCCAAAGUUGCCAACUUACCUGAAAAAGAAAAACAGAAACAUACUAAAAAGAAAAACAUCUGCUACAGUAGUUGUGCUCGGCUCCUUGGUUUGAAUGAAGAUAUUGAGGAUGGUUCUAAAGACCCUGCCGCAUCCAGAGGAGCGUAUGUGUCUCUCCUUUAUUUGCGCCAUCUCCGGAUCAGAGAGCUAAAGCGUACCUGUUUGAGCAUGCUGAACUAUCUGCGCUCUGUGGAGAAAAGGCUGGCUGUGGAUACUGCAGGACUUCAGGUGUUGGGGGGUGUACAGGAGAGUAGUGUGGAGGAAAGCACCUGGAUGAGUGCAGCUCGAGGAGGCCGUGGGUCUGCAGGAGGCCUUGGUUCACAUCACUACAUCUAUGACACCCCUGCUGAUUACAAGGUACAUUGCACAGAGUUCAUGGAGUUCCCUGAGGUGGAGAAUCUCAGUGAUUACUACAGCACUGAGGGUCAAUAUAUCCACGUCCAGGAUCAAAGGGGCCUUUACAUUGUGUAUGACACUGCUCUAAUGGACCUAAAGGAGCUUGAAAACACAAUGCUGCUUAUAGCAUCACAUUACAUCAGCAGAUGCAGAGAGAAUUCCAGUAGAGAACUAAAAUCUGAACAGGACGUGGAUCGAGUGGCUGUUCUGCUGGACAUCUGGACAUGUGAGACUGCAUUCCUGGAGCAUAAAAUAGAGGUACUGUUAAAGAAAGUAUUUCAAAAAAGGUUGCAUAUACAGGAUAAUCAAAAUGUUUACCUUGCCCUUGUUGAUAUUCUUUUUACAGCUCUUGAAUUGCUACUUUGAAGCUUACCACCACAUCAUAGACCCAGAAGAGCGAUUUAGUUUGGCUCAAGUAAUUACAGAUAUAAUGCACAGAAGACCUCGUCUGAAUUUGGAAACAGAGUAUUUUGUUCAAGCCUACAGGCAGGAGGUGGCCUGUCUGCAGAGCCACCAGCAACUUAUCAAACUAGUUCUAAAUUCUCAGGUAAUUGUUUAUUUUAUUUUUUGCUGAUAGUAGCCAUAAUAGCUGUGGCAGUUGUGUAAAUCUGUAACCAUGUUUCCUUUUGUUAGAUUGAUAAGCAGCGUGAGUACCUUGACCGGAUAUGGAGAGGGGAGAGGAGGAGGAGCUGUCCAGAUGAAUAUGGUUUUCCUUUAAGUUUUGUCCCGAAACAACUGGUGUCAGUAGGUGGAAGUAGGUAAGCAUUAGGAUAAUAUAUGGAGAACACUCUGAACGCCAUGUAGUCCU